rnacentral:rRNA from 1 species
UGGGGAAUAUUGCACAAUGGAGGGAACUCUGAUGCAGCGACGCCGCGUGAGCGAUGAAGGCUUUCGAGUCGUAAAGCUCUGUCGAAUGGGAAGAUAAUGACGGUACCAUUUGAGAAAGCCCCGGCUAACUACGUGCCAGCAGCCGCGGUAAUACGUAGGGGGCGAGCGUUGUCCGGAAUUAUUGGGCGUAAAGGGUUCGUAGGCGGCAAUGUAUGUCAGGUGUGAAAGACGGUGGCUCAACCAACGCAAGCAUCUGAAACUGCAUAGCUUGAGAAAAGGAGAGGUAAGUGGAAUUCCUAGUGUAGCGGUGAAAUGCGUAGAUAUUAGGAGGAAUACCAGUGGCGAAGGCGACUUACUGGACUUUAACUGACGCUGAUGAACGAAAGCGUGGGGAGCAAAC